UACGGCCGUGGUUCAGCUCGGUUACCGCGAUGGUCAAUACCGUCUUGUAUAAAUAAAACGAGUAAACUGCGAAUGGCUCAUUAAAACAGUUAUAGUUUAUUUGAUACAUUAAAUGGAUAACUGUAGAAAAACUAGAGCUAAUACAUGCCAAAGCCUCACGGUUGUAUUUAUUAGAUAUUCCAAUUAGGUGAAUCAUAAUAACUUCGCAAAUCUCGGUUUUGCCGAGAUAAAUCAUCCAAGUUUCUGCCCUAUCAUGCUUUCGAUGGUAGUGUAUUGGACUACCAUGGCUUCACGGGAACCAGACAAAAGGGUCGAUUCUGGAGACUGAUUUUGAGAACGGCUACUCCUCCCCCGCCGGAGCAGCGCGUAAUUACCAUCCUGACUCAGGAGGAGUGCAGAUAUACACGCAUUUCUUGUGUUGAGGAGGUUUCCAACGACCCUAGACAUAAGGCAGCUGGGCACACCCGUAUCCGUUAUACGAAUAAGUGUGAGUAAAGUCGAUUGAUCAGUGGAUUCCAGAGCCUCAUUAUGUCGAAAUAGGUAGAGUUGAACUCGAAAGUCAUGAUGUCUAAGGGUUUUAGUGUAAUGUGGUAGAAAGUAGGAAGGGAGAAAGGGGGGCCCA
rnacentral:rRNA from 1 species